rnacentral:rRNA from 1 species
GAUGAACGCUGGCGGCGUGCCUAAUACAUGCAAGUCGAGCGAACGGACGAGAAGCUUGCUUCUCUGAUGUUAGCGGCGGACGGGUGAGUAACACGUGGAUAACCUACCUAUAAGACUGGGAUAACUUCGGGAAACCGGAGCUAAUACCGGAUAAUAUUUUGAACCGCAUGGUUCAAAAGUGAAAGACGGUCUUGCUGUCACUUAUAGAUGGAUCCGCGCUGCAUUAGCUAGUUGGUAAGGUAACGGCUUACCAAGGCAACGAUGCAUAGCCGACCUGAGAGGGUGAUCGGCCACACUGGAACUGAGACACGGUCCAGACUCCUACGGGAGGCAGCAGUAGGGAAUCUUCCGCAAUGGGCGAAAGCCUGACGGAGCAACGCCGCGUGAGUGAUGAAGGUCUUCGGAUCGUAAAACUCUGUUAUUAGGGAAGAACAUAUGUGUAAGUAACUGUGCACAUCUUGACGGUACCUAAUCAGAAAGCCACGGCUAACUACGUGCCAGCAGCCGCGGUAAUACGUAGGUGGCAAGCGUUAUCCGGAAUUAUUGGGCGUAAAGCGCGCGUAGGCGGUUUUUUAAGUCUGAUGUGAAAGCCCACGGCUCAACCGUGGAGGGUCAUUGGAAACUGGAAAACUUGAGUGCAGAAGAGGAAAGUGGAAUUCCAUGUGUAGCGGUGAAAUGCGCAGAGAUAUGGAGGAACACCAGUGGCGAAGGCGACUUUCAGGUCUGUAACUGACGCUGAUGUGCGAAAGCGUGGGGAUCAAACAGGAUUAGAUACCCUGGUAGUCCACGCCGUAAACGAUGAGUGCUAAGUGUUAGGGGGUUUCCGCCCCUUAGUGCUGCAGCUAACGCAUUAAGCACUCCGCCUGGGGAGUACGACCGCAAGGUUGAAACUCAAAGGAAUUGACGGGGACCCGCACAAGCGGUGGAGCAUGUGGUUUAAUUCGAAGCAACGCGAAGAACCUUAUCAAAUCUUGACAUCCUUUGACAACUCUAGAGAUAGAGCCUUCCCCUUCGGGGGACAAAGUGACAGGUGGUGCAUGGUUGUCGUCAGCUCGUGUCGUGAGAUGUUGGGUUAAGUCCCGCAACGAGCGCAACCCUUAAGCUUAGUUGCCAUCAUUAAGUUGGGCACUCUAAGUUGACUGCCGGUGACAAGCCGGAGGAAGGUGGGGAAGACGUCAAAUCAUCAUGCCCCUUAUGAUUUGGGCUACACACGUGCUACAAUGGACAAUACAAAGGGCAGCGAAACCGCGAGGUCAAGCAAAUCCCAUAAAGUUGUUCUCAGUUCGGAUUGUAGUCUGCAACUCGACUACAUGAAGCUGGAAUCGCUAGUAAUCGUAGAUCAGCAUGCUACGGUGAAUACGUUCCCGGGUCU